rnacentral:rRNA from 1 species
GUGGGGAAUUUUGGACAAUGGGCGCAAGCCUGAUCCAGCAAUGCCGCGUGCAGGAAGAAGGCCUUCGGGUUGUAAACUGCUUUUGUACGGAACGAAACGGUCCGGGUUAAUACCCUGGGCUAAUGACGGUACCGUAAGAAUAAGCACCGGCUAACUACGUGCCAGCAGCCGCGGUAAUACGUAGGGUGCAAGCGUUAAUCGGAAUUACUGGGCGUAAAGCGUGCGCAGGCGGUGUUGUAAGACAGGCGUGAAAUCCCCGGGCUCAACCUGGGAAUUGCGCUUGUGACUGCAGUGCUGGAGUACGGCAGAGGGGGAUGGAAUUCCGCGUGUAGCAGUGAAAUGCGUAGAUAUGCGGAGGAACACCGAUGGCGAAGGCAGUCCCCUGGGCCUGUACUGACGCUCAUGCACGAAAGCGUGGGGAGCAAACAGGAUUAGAAACCCCUGUAGUCC